rnacentral:pre_miRNA from 1 species
UACCUUUCUGUCGGAUAGCUUAUCAGACUGAUGUUGACUGUUGGAUGUCAUGGCAACAACAGUCGGUAGGCUGUCUGACAUUUUGGU